AACCCGACUCCGUGAAGCUGGAUUCGCUAGUAAUCGCGCAUCAGCCAUGGCGCGGUGAAUACGUUCCCGGGCCUUGUACACACCGCCCGUCAAGCCAUGGGAGCCGGGGGUGCUUGAAGUGCGUCGCCGCAAGGCGCGCCCUAGAGCAAAACCGGUGACUGGGGCUAAGUCGUAACAAGGUAAC
rnacentral:rRNA from 1 species